CCUACGGGAGGCAGCAGUGAGGAAUAUUGGUCAAUGGGCGCGAGCCUGAACCAGCCAAGUCGCGUGAAGGAUGACUGCCCUACGGGUUGUAAACUUCUUUUAUAAAGGAAUAAAGUGAGGCACGUGUGCCUUUUUGUAUGUACUUUAUGAAUAAGCAUCGGCUAACUCCGUGCCAGCAGCCGCGGUAUUACGGAGGAUCCGAGCGUUAUCCGGAUUUAUUGGGUUUAAAGGGAGCGUAGAUGGGUUGUUAAGUCAGUUGUGAAAGUUUGGGGCUCAACCGUAAAAUUGCAAUUGAUACUGGCAUUCUUGAGUACAGUUGAGGUAGGCGGAAUUCGGGGUGUAGCGGUGAAAUGCUUAGAUAUCACGAAGAACACCGAUGGCGAAGGCAGAUUGCUAAACUGCCACUGACAUUGAUGCGCGAAAGUGUGGGUAGCAAACAGGAUUAGAUACCCGAGUAGUC
rnacentral:rRNA from 1 species